rnacentral:lncRNA from 1 species
AGAUUCUAAAUUAUUGCAAAAUGAUUCUAUCAUUUAUCUUCGUUAAUAGCAUGCUAUCACGUGACCAUCGUAGAAAAGAAUAAAAUUAUAUUAUGACCUAAUUGCCCUUCAUAUCAGUUUCUUUAUAGGGUGUUAGUCUUGACACCAAGAUGCCACAAAUCAUAUGACCUUAUGUGAUUUGUUUCUAAUAAUCGUGGGUUCUACUUUCAAGGAAACCGCAAAGCAGACAUGAAGGAGAGGAAGGUCGGGAGGGAAGGGAAAGGGAGAGAUAAUGGAUGCAUCUCACAUAAGUUCCAUUCUUUUUCCUCCUAUUUUAUUGAUUUUUACCAUUAAAUGGAAUAAGGUUGCCUUUGAGGACAUCAUGGACCAGCGCAAACCUUGGCCAACAUUUAAUUUGUUGGAUGCAUGAUAAAUAAGAUAUGUUAUUAUUUUGAUCCCAUUUUCAUGUUUAUUCUCCGAUGUUUGCUUUCAAUCUCCAGUCUCAAGUUGGUGGUCCAAGUUAAUGAUGACUGUAGUUUCUUCCAUUGACGUGAUUUAUGUUCAAAUGCAAGGGAUAAGGUAGAUUAUUAAUAAAAUCUUGUAGCGGAACAAGUACCUCGAGUCCCAACUUUUGAGUUGCAAAAAGAAGGAUCAAAUAGGCGGUGUUCGGUAUUCUGACAUAUGCGAUUGUUGUGGCAUUGUUUUAUAGUAUCUUAAUUUUCUCAAUUUUGAAUGUUUGAUGUGUUAAGAGUUCUAAGUUGAAGGUUUUGGAGUUUGGGGAGUGUUGUAAGUUGGACAUUUUAGAGGUUAUCCCAGGACGAAUGUUUUGCUUUGGGGAUUAUGGCAACAUUUUUUUUAUAAUUUCUAAACUAUCUGUGCAGUGAAAAUGCUAUUGCGUUGGCUUAAAUAAAUGGCUUUACCUGAUGUACUAAGAGCAAUUUUGCAUUGAAAAUACUCCAAUGCUUUCUUAUCGUCAGCAUCUUCCACAUGUCUUGCACUUUUUGAAGCCAAAAUGCAUAACUGAAGAUAGAUACUUAUCCAAUAAAGAUACCUCCUAAAUUUUUAUAUUGUUCUACUGAUACCCUCUUUACCUUUUCAAUAGUUCCACUAAUACCCUCUCUUUUUUCACCCUGUUGCAACAACAUCCCCUCUUGCAAAUACUCCUCUAUAGUUUGAAAAAGGCAAAAUAGAGAUUCCUUUAUAGAUCUAGACUAUGAGUACAUAUGGAUCUUAAUAAUUACACUUGGCCUAUGUAAUGGGGAACAUGUUGGCGUUGCCAUCCUUCCCUAUUGUACCUAGGAAUUGCCUCCCAAAGAAUUAUUUUAGGUUGCAUCCAUCUAGAAUGUUGAUGGGUUUGCACUAUUUUACAAACCUAUUCUUACGUACAGCAAUUAGACAACGAUAAAGCCUCCUAAAGGUGGGCUAGUUGACCUCAUUUGACCUUUUCAUUCGUCCUCUUAAUUAUAUUGCAGUACUCCUAUAGGCAAAUGUACUGUCCUUGUGCA